CUGGCGGCGUGCCUAACACAUGCAAGUCGAACGGGGAUUUGUUUCGGCAGAAUCCUAGUGGCGAACGGGUGAGUAACGCGUAGGCAACCUGCCCUCCGGCCGGGGACAACACUCCGAAAGGGGUGCUAAUACCGGAUACGAAGUCUGUGCCGCAUGGUACGGAUUUGAAAGAUGGCCUCUAUUUAUAAGCUAUCGCCGGGGGAUGGGCCUGCGUCCGAUUAGCUGGUUGGUGGGGUAACGGCCUACCAAGGCGACGAUCGGUAGCCGGUCUGAGAGGAUGAACGGCCACAUUGGGACUGAGACACGGCCCAGACUCCUACGGGAGGCAGCAGUGGGGAAUCUUCCGCAAUGGGCGCAAGCCUGACGGAGCAACGCCGCGUGAGUGAGGAAGUUCUUCGGAACGUAAAGCUCUGUUGUUCCUGACGAACCUCCCUUCUAUCAACAACGGAGGGGACUGACGGUAGGGAACGAGGAAGCCACGGCUAACUACGUGCCAGCAGCUGC
rnacentral:rRNA from 1 species